rnacentral:rRNA from 1 species
UAGGGAAUUUUGCGCAAUGGACGAAAGUCUGACGCAGCGACGCCGCGUGGGUGAUGAAGGCCUUCGGGUUGUAAAGCCCUGUGGGGAGGGACGAAUUAGUGGAAGUUAAUACCUUCCAUGAUGACGGUACCUCCUUAGCAAGCACCGGCUAACUCUGUGCCAGCAGCCGCGGUAAGACAGAGGGUGCAAACGUUGUUCGGAAUUACUGGGCGUAAAGCGCGUGUAGGCGGCCAAGCAAGUCGGAUGUGAAAGCCCUCGGCUCAACCGGGGAAGUGCACUCGAAACUGCAUGGCUAGAGUCUCGGAGAGGAUCGUGGAAUUCUCGGUGUAGAGGUGAAAUUCGUAGAUAUCGAGAGGAACACCGGUGGCGAAGGCGGCGAUCUGGACGAUGACUGACGCUGAGACGCGAAAGCGUGGGGAGCAAACA